GGGUCCUUCUUCCUCAAAACAGAAGGGAGUUUCAAAUGAGAUUGGACCAUGACAACAGUGACUAUCAUUAUCUAGAUGACAGUAGGUUUAAGGAAAAUAUUCAUUUACUGGUUUUCAAACUUCAUGAAAGAGAAAGCAUGAAUUGCAGACUCAGUGUUUAAAAAUCAAAUGCAUUAUUCAGAAUCAAAUAUAAAAGCCAGAUGCCACAAAUUACUCCCAAAUUCACAUUUUUUUGAGAUAUGAUUGAUUAAAGUUCUAUUUGAGGAUGCAUUUUCCUAAGUGACUUUUGGUUUAGGAGUCUUCUUCAGAUAAUCUUUUCCUAAGAACUAAAUGAAAGAAAUUUAUUUGUUAUCCAAGAAUUGUCAUUACUGUUUCUUCAUUUCAGCACUCAUUUAUUUAUUCACAGGUCGCAUGCUGUCUGACCUGUCCUGGUUGGUGGGAGGGAUGGAGCCUGGCUUCCUGUGUAGGGUGCCCAAGGACUGGCUGUGGAGGCUGCUGGGCCUAAAUGCUUUCCCCCUACUUUUUUCCAUGGACUGACUUCUGUAUCCCAAAUGAUUGACAUAUUUAUUAUUGACCUUCUCUGACAAAAGACAAAGAAUUACGGAUCUACAUUUUUCUCUCAAUCUCAGGAGCCAAUAUAUUCAGUGUAAAAGCUCAAUUUUCAUUUGAAAGAAAAAACACUUGGCUCAAGAAAAUUUUUUUCCAUGUAAGUCUAAAUUAUAAAAAUUUGACUUAUUAAAAACAAGAUGUUGUGUUAUUUUAUAUAUAUAUAUAUAUAUAUAUAUAUAUAUUUGUCCUUAGUUCCUAGCUCAUAACUCCCCUAGCUCUUGUUAAAAUCUUUUGUUAUUAUAUUGGGUGUGCUAGUUCGCAGGAACAGACCUCAGGAAACUGAAUCUCUCUACUGCCUUCUUUCUCCUACCCUAAAGCAGGACUUUAAUCUUCUCUCACCUUUCUGAUUAUGGAUCUUAAGAAAUUUCCCUGAGAGGGCUCCGCCCUGUACCCUAUACUUGGGGAAGGAAUGCUGAUGUCACAAAGCUUCCAUAAAAAUCCAAAAGGACUGGGUUCAGAGGGCUUUUGGAGAGCUGGACAUGUGGAGGCCGACAGGAAGGUGAAGAAGUCAUCUGCGUGCUGUGAGGGUGGCGCACCCCAACUCCAUGGGGACAGAAGGUCCUGCAUUUAGGACCCUUCCAGACCUCACACCUAUGUAUCUCUUCAUCUGGCUGAUUACUUAUAUCCUUUCAAAGACGCUUCUUAGUAAACUGGUAAAUGUUAAGUGUUUCUCUGAGUUCUGUGAGCCACUCUAGCAAAUUAAUCAAACCCAAAGAGGGUGUCUUGGUGACCUCAACUUGAAGCCAGUUGGUCACAAGAUUUGGAGGCCCAAACUUACAACUAGGAGGAAGAAAGGAACAAUCUUGGGGACUGAACCUUCAACUUGCGGGAUGGGACACUCUCUCUAGGUGGACAGUGUUGGAAUUGAAUUGGGGGACACCCAGCCACUUGGCAGUGGGGGAGAAUCUGCACACAUUUGGUCACAGAAGUCUCAUGGGGUCAUUGUUGCGUGGUGAGAGUGGAGGAGAAACACAGUUUGAGAGUUGUUUUUCUGAUACGAAAUGAAAAUAUAAUUUAAAUACAUCUGGAAAAUAGAUAUGUCUUUAUUAACACCAUUCUCAAUUUGUCAAAUUUCCGAUGAAAGAAAGGUCUAUUUUGUGAAUUUAAGGAUUUAAGCACAGGCAAUAACAGAUUUAAAUACAAAAGUAUAGAGGUGUCAUUAUUAUACAUUUUCUUCCUAAGUGAGUAUGAUGAACUUUAUCGGUUGAAAGAUUGCUGCUGAGAGUCAGUGGCACUGAGUCAUAUUUUAACCUUUUCAAUAUGACAGAAUAAACCAUUAGCUGCAAUCUUAUUCAUAUUGUUUCUGUGGUUGUCAGAGUCUGCCACAAAGUCCCAGCACUCCCUUCGUCAUUCCAAAGCAUCACAAUUAGUCUUAAUUUCUACUCCCACUUCAUCUGAGAUAGGACUCUUUUGUCUGUGCUAACACUGACAGGUUUUCAAACUGUCUUUUUAAACAUUAGACUUUGUAUUUGUAAGGCCCCUUUCCACUGCUAGAGCCACUGGAAUUGCACUUUGAAGUUUGCAUAUAAUCCUUUAUUAGUCUUAAUAUGUGAGGAUCCUAACUAUACACUAAGGCAUAAAGAAUUCCCUCCAUUCAGACAAUGCCCCCAAUCCUAUGAAGCAGGGAGUGAACCUGGACAUGAAGCAGGGAGAAGGAAGUAGCUGGAUGGUCAGAUGGAGCCAUUCCUCCAUGAUGUGUUCAAAAUGAUUUCUUAUACCUCCAGUGAAUUUAUAGGAGUCCUUGCUGAUUGAAGUCACAAACUUUGUCAAUGAUAUAAAAAAGAAAUUUUGGAAAAACAGGCUGAAUGUCAGAUAUAGACACAAUACCACCAUUGAUUACGAUGUUAAAUUAUAUGGGGGUUGUCACACAUGUCAAGGGACCACUGGUCUUCGUCCACUGUUAAAAGUCACCCUAAUGGAUAGUCUUUUUGGCAUGCAAAGUGGUUCAGGCUGUUUGUACUGGCUAUUUGUCUUAGAACUAAGUAGACUUUCCACAAGGCUGGUCUAAGAGUUAGGGUGUAUAGUAUGAACAGUGUAGGAAAAUUUAUUGGAUACUAUUUUGCACUGUUUUGCUCCAUACUGAAUUUGUUAUGUCAGAGGCUUUCACUCUGAUUUUUUUCCUGAGUUUUAAAAUCCAAAAAAUGUGAGAAAAGAACAAAAUCUUUUGGUAGUCUACAACUGCUAACAAAUUAAUCUCGGAAAUCCCUUUGAAUACCAACAUAAAUGUGACCUACAUCAAUGUAUAUGGACUCAGGGUCUAUUCAGCUCAGGGAUAUACCUCUGUUGGAUACUGAAUGGAUAUUGCAUCUCUGUGAAACCUGCUCUGGCAUCAUGGCGUCUUAACAUUAAUCACGAAAAAAGUUAUUUUGAUUUCCUGCUGAGCUUUGGUUAAUUUUACUGACAAGAGAUGCAUUACAAAAGAAAGGAGCUCUUUGAAAAACUGAAAAUUUAAUAGGAAAUUUUAUUAAAUACAUCAUUUUGAUUUGCAACCUUAUUAUAAAUUUCGAAAAGUUCAUAUUCUACAUUUGAAUUGUCCAUAUGUUUCCUUAAUAAGCUGCAAUAAAAAUAGAAUAUAAAAAGUAUGCAGCUUCUUAUCACUUUCAUCUUUAAUUUAAUUAAAUUUCUCUGGCUUGGUAAAUCAUACAAACCCAUUAAUAUUGAUCCUAGCAUGUGUGGUUUUUUCCUAGCUAUUUGUUGAAUUCUAUUAUUUUUAAAAUAUGCUUUCUUAUUCAUUAUCAAAAACUACUUACAUGUCUCUUUUCAUUCUAGUUUACUCAUAUUGUUUUAUAACAAGAAAAGAGAUAAAAUUUGUUGAUAUUAGAGGGAAGUUUUGUUUAGGUUAAACGGGGGGUAAUUUUAAUUGAAGAUAAAAUAUAUAACCACUCUAGAUAUGGAGUUCUGAACUCCUCUGAUUAGUAGUUGGGACUGAGGUGGAGUUGAGGUAGGGACUGUAAUUCCACAGUUCUUUGAUAGAACUUGACCUGCAGUGGGUGAGAAAAAGGAAAUGCGGUCUUCUUGCAGUUCAGGAAGCCUGACUCCUGUUCAUGCACAUAACUCCAUCUAGAACAGAAGCAGGGUUAUUUUUUUAUUUUGGAUUCAGGUUUCUCAGUGUAUUUUCUGAAUAAGGAAUGCAAUUAAUUAGUUCUAAUUUUCAGAAUUUUUCUCUUUGCUUCAAAAAAUAUUUGUGCAUGUGUGUGUAUGUGUGUGUAUAUAUAUAUAUAUAUAUAUAUAUAUAUAUAAACACAAUUCAUUGGGUUUAGGGAAUUUAUUUUCUUGUAUACUUCUAUAUAAUAUAAAUUGGUCUUACUUUAUAUUUGGAAACUGCAUACAUUGAGGUAGUUGCUUGUCACAAAAACUGUUCUUGCUUUCUUUAACCUGAACUGGAAAUUCAAAAGCUUAUUAAAAUACUAAGGCAACUAGUGUUCUCAAAGUAAAUUUUCCCUACUCAGAUUUUAGUCAAACAACAACAUGCCCAUAAUGAGUUAAAUCUGUGCUUUAAGAAAAAGAAAAGCAAUCGUGCUGAGGAAUCCUAGUUGGCCCAGGAGGUUAGAAAAUGGAGGUUGAUUCUCCCUCUACAAGUCAUCAAUUUGAUUCGGUCCAGGUUGGCAGUUUUUCAGAACAUCUGUCGUCUGAUUGCUCUUUAGUGGUCAGUAAACAAGAAAAUCCAGAUGUUCUUAGUUUAGUAGAGAUCCAUCAUCUAAAAUGCCCCAAGGUCCUGUACACUUCUAUGUGCCUAAAGGUUACACUGAAAAGGACGAGGGAUCUCUGAGAAUCCUUUCUCCCAGGCAUUACUUCUAAGUGGUGGACAUGCUGUCCUAGUGCCUCCCUCACAUGGCCAGCGGAGAAGGGCCUUGCCCUACCUCUCAGACUGCAGCCCUGAGCCACUCCUUGGAGGUGAGGAGCACCAUUCACCUGAGCAGCUCCCCGCCCUGGUGUCUGAGAAAUAAAUCUGCCUUCAGUCAUACGGUUCUACCAAUCUGAGCACACGACCACCUGAUAGGGUACUGAGGAUGGCUUCUGACCUGGAGGCAUCAAGGACCUGAAGGCAGUAACCAUUUCAGAGGACAGCCACAUCCCUCAAAUUACAAACAUCUAAAAUGUCCAUUAACUGUUGAGUGGAUAUAUAAAUUCUGAUGUUUUAUAAAAUGGCAUACCCUACAUCAAUGAAGAUGAAUGAAUUACUUCUGCAUAAAACAAUAUACAUGCAUCUAACCAAUAUGACACUGAGUGAAAAAAGACAUCCAUAGAAGAGCACAGCUCACCAUUCAGGAGGUGAGUAGGCUGAAAGAAUCCAUGGUGUUAGAAGCUGAGACAUUAACUCAAGGAUGAGAAAAGUAAUAAUAGAAAUUGGGAACUGGUGAUGAGGGUUUUUUGGUUAG
rnacentral:lncRNA from 1 species